rnacentral:rRNA from 1 species
AUUGAACGCUGGCGGCGUGACCUAACACAUGCAAGUCGAGCGGUAACAGGUGUAGCAAUACAUGCUGACGAGCGGCGGACGGGUGAGUAACGCUUGGGAAUCUGCCUAUUAGUGGGGGACAACCCGGGGAAACUCGGGCUAAUACCGCAUACGCUCUACGGAGGAAAGCCGGGGACCGCAAGGCCUGCGCUAAUAGAUGAGCCCAAGUCGGAUUAGCUAGUUGGUAGGGGUAAUGGCCUACCAAGGCGACGAUCCGUAACUGGUCUGAGAGGACGACCAGUCACACCGGAACUGAGACACGGUCCGGACUCCUACGGGAGGCAGCAGUGGGGAAUAUUGGACAAU